CGUGAGAUGUUGGGUUAAGUCCCGCAACGAGCGCAACCCCUAUCCUUUGUUGCCAGCACGCAAUGGUGGGAACUCAAAGGAGACUGCCGCGGACAACGCGGAGGAAGGCGGGGAUGACGUCAAGUCAUCAUGCCCCUUAUGUCCUGGGCUACACACGUACUACAAUGGGAUGGACAGAGAGCAGCGAAGCCGCGAGGCCAAGCGAACCCCAUAAACCAUCUCCCAGUUUCGGAUUGCAGGCUGCAACCCGCCUGCAUGAA
rnacentral:rRNA from 1 species